CUAUGUUGUGUUCCCCUCCUUCUAGUAUGAUUCUGCCAAAGUGCCAAUAAGUAAGCUACUUUGAGCCUGCUCAAAUUUGUAUUCAACUCCAAGGCUCAUGAGUAGUUUGUUUGUGAAUCGAAUUCGAGCUAGCCCCCAAAGUCGAAUAUGAGCAAUGUAUAGCUUCGAAUACAAAUACUCGAAAACGAAAACGAGCAUAGUAGUUUUCACUCGUAUUCGACUCAUUUUAACCCCUUUCUUAUUGCUUAAAUUUGCUAAAAUCUCCAGGGAAAAAGAAGCAGGGGUAUACAUAUUGAGGGGAUAUCAUCAUGUAUGUAGUGAUUCAAAUCAAAAAAAGAUUCAGUGUGUCAAGUGUGAGCUUUGUGAGCAAAUCACAACACCUAAAUACAUCCUUCUCUUCUCCAAAUAGUAGGGUUCAAAUAACAUUUCCAUAUUAUUAAUAAAACAUUCUCUGUAUAAGGUAAGGUGAAAAGGAAGGAGUCGAUGUUUAGCAACACUUCAAACCCCCUAAUAUUUCCCUCCUUUCUUUUUCUCUCCACCAUCAAAAGUUAAAAUUAAAAUUAAAACUAAAACUAAAUUCUAACAUACUACUCCCUCCACUCCAUCAUUGGAUUCUUCUUCUUCAUCAUCAGACUCUUCAGAUUCGUCUUCAUCUUGUUCAGGGUCCGAUUUUUGGGGAUUGGAUUCUUCAUGUCGAUGCUUUUCUUCUUCAUCGCUGGAGUCUUCCUCUUGUUCUUCUGAUUCAUCAUCAAAUGCAGGAAGAUCAUCAAUUUGAGGGUAUCACUUUGGUGCCAUAGUCGCUUGGGGUUCUUAAGAGAUGGGGAUUGGGAGAGACAGAGUAGGGUUUUAGCGUUGUUAUUAGAAAAAAAAAAAAAGAAAAGAUAAAUAUAUA
rnacentral:lncRNA from 1 species